UACGGAGGGUGCGAGCGUUGUCCGGAAUCACUGGGCGUAAAGGGCGCGUAGGUGGCCCGUCAAGCGCGCGGUGAAAACCCGGGGCUCAACCCCGGGCCUGCAUUCGAUACGGGCAGACUAGAGUUCGGUAGGGGAGUCUGGAAUUCCUGGUGUAGCGGUGAAAUGCGCAGAUAUCAGGAGGAACACCGGUGGCGAAGGCGGGACUCUGGGCCGAUACUGACGCUGAGGAGCGAAAGCGUGGGGAGCGAACAGG
rnacentral:rRNA from 1 species